AGAGACAGCAGUCGCCGCGGUAAUACGGAGGGUGCAAGCGUUAUCCGGAUUUAUUGGGUUUAAAGGGUCCGUAGGCGGACUCGUAAGUCAGUGGUGAAAUCUCAUAGCUUAACUAUGAAACUGCCAUUGAUACUGCGGGUCUUGAGUAAGGUAGAGGUAGCUGGAAUAAGUAGUGUAGCGGUGAAAUGCAUAGAUAUUACUUAGAACACCAAUUGCGAAGGCAGGUUACCAUGUCUUAACUGACGCUGAUGGACGAAAGCGUGGGGAGCGAACAGGAUUAGAUACCCGAGUAGUCCCUGUCUCUUAUAC
rnacentral:rRNA from 1 species